UACAGAGGGUGCGAGCGUUAAUCGGAAUUACUGGGCGUAAAGCGCGCGUAGGCGGCUCGGUAAGUCGGUCGUGAAAUGCCGGGGCUCAACCCCGGGACUGCGUCCGAUACUUCCGAGCUGGAGGCAGGUAGGGGAGAUCGGAAUUCCUGGUGUAGCGGUGAAAUGCGCAGAUAUCAGGAGGAACACCGGUGGCGAAGGCGGAUCUCUGGGCCUUGCCUGACGCUGAGGCGCGAAAGCUAGGGGAGCGAACAGG
rnacentral:rRNA from 1 species